AUGGGGAGCUUAAGACUUACGAAGUCUCCAUUAGCUCUAGCUGUGGCUGGCUCCGAGAGGCCAAGCAAUUGGCCUAAGCACACAGGAAGCCAGCCAAGGAAAGUGAGAGUAGAAACCACUCUCAAGACUUUGCUCCAGAUGAAGACACAAAUCUAUCAAAAGGAAAGAAAACCCAGGGAAACAGAGACUUAUCACUUGCUUUGUUGCUGCAGUCUCUGCCCUCAUCUCGCAGGCACAAACUGGAGGUAAGACUGGGCUGCCUCUCUCAUCAUAGACCCGUGUAAGGACCCCACAUCUCAAGAACCGAUGUGGUUCACAGCAUCAGGAUCUCUCUGUCCCCAAGUCUCAUGUCCUGGUUCAUCUUUGAGAGCAGCACUUGGGACUGCAGGAGGCUGGCCUGGGGACAACCUGCUUGGUGCUCACCCUGUUCAGACCUUAUUUUGUUGUACAGCCUCUGCUCAGAUGCUUCUCUUCUCUGCCCUUUGGCAAAAUGAGAGCAUUGUACUAGUGGUUAUCAAAUCAAGGUUCAAGUAGGCUUUGACUAGUAAGAUGGGUGCUAAGGGAUGGGGUAAGGGUGGUUAGAGUGACUUUCCAGCUCCUGCAGAAAUUUAAAUUGACAAAAAGGUUUGAGAACUUAACAAAGAUUGAAAGUGUAUACAGUAGAACCUCAGUACUCAUUAAUUCAUUCUGGGAAGUGAAAUGAAUACCAAAAAUAAUGGGUACCAAACAAAUUAUUUGGCUGGAAAUUAUAGCAAACAAACAGCACCAACAAGUUCUAGCUUGAGCAUGGAGUAUCAAACAAACUGGGUGCCCAACAAAAUUUUCACCAAAUUCAAAAUGAACCAAGUAUCAAAUUUGACAAGUCUUAAAGCAAUUAAGUACCGAAGUAGGACAGUAUGUCUCAAAUAGUAAGAUUUCAUACUUCAUGGGGAGCUGGUCACCAAGUCCAACAAGCAUUAUUUCCAUUUCCAUUCUCAGGGAGUGCCCAGGCUAGGCAGAGAGAGAGAGAGAGAGAGAGAGCUUGCCCUCACCGUGCAUCCCUCCCUUCCUGUUUCAACCUUGAAAGUCCUCCUUGGAAGAUGUUUAUCCAUAGUCCAUAAGAGUCACGUGGGGAGAGGUAGGAUUGUGGGCUCUGGUGCUCUUUGUUCUAUCUCUACAGCCUCCACCUCCUGGUCCCAAAUCUAGGCACAAGCAGAAAGUGUUGACUGCUUGUCCUAGAAGCACCACUGCAGAUCAUCCACCACCCUAGUUUUACAGGUGAGAUCACAAGGGCCAAGGAAGUUAGAUGACUUGCCCAAAGUCACACAGCAAACUAAGCACCAGCAAGAAUAAAGGCCCAGCUUUUAUAAAGACAUAAACAGGAGCAGUGACCAGAAGAGCUGUUUACACACAAAUGUUUAGGCAUUAUGUGAAUGCUCAGAAGGCCAAUUUUUAAAAAAAUAAUUAAUGUGAUAAAGCCUUUUCCUACCCUAGGUGGGUGACAGCUAGGAGUCACUGCGUAUCACUGGUAUGACUAGGAGUCAUGUGGUCCUGGGUCCACCUGCUGUAAGACAUGCAGCUGAGGUCCAGGCUUCUCAUGAGGAAGCCCGUACAUGUAGCCCGAGCUCAGAGCAGGCUUGGGCCUUUCCCUGACUACCUGCACCUCUGCAGUCUGUUUCCUCCACUCCUCAGUUGGUGCACUCACUGGGCUCUCUGUGUGGAUUAGGUGGCAAAGAAGUGUCUCUGUGGUUUAUGUUCCCACCUCCUGGGCUCACUCAGCCAGAACACCAGCAGUCCCUUGUUUGUUUCUGUAUGUUUGUUCACAACAUGCCUUAUUCAGAAGCAUGGGCCCUGGACCAUUUAUCAUCCCAACCUCCCAGCCUCUUUGUGACAUCCCCACCAUACAAAUGAGGCUGCUAAGACUCAAAGAGCUGAAGUGACUUGUGCAGGUCACGUAGUAAGAACUGCAAAGCUAUUCAUGGAGCCUUGGUCAACCAGGGCUUCCCUUGCCUCACCACGUGCCCAGUGCAACAACAGCCAGAGCUUGAGCCCUGUUUCUCCUUAGUUUCCUUCCUGAAAGAUCGCUGAGGCCCUGGGAAUCCAGAGCCCAAGCUCAUGUUUUUCUUCAUAGAGACCACAGUCCUAAUCUUGCUCUUGUCUCAUCCCGGGUUGAGUCAUUCUAAUCCGGAUGACCAGUCUGUCUCCGGGGUGAACUUCUCUGUAUCUGAGAUGUUAACCAGGCAACAUCCUUGGUCUAUUUCUUUCCAGGUA
ensembl:lincRNA